GGCUAUUGAGAACAUGUGAUGACACUGUGUGCCUUUGCCCGAGUGUUUCGACGCUAUGCUGGAGGACAUCAUUGCAAUUUUCCUAUGGAAAAAGAAGCAAACUCCAAGCCUACAACACUGGCCUAAUGGGACUGUCAUCCUGGAGUGCCACACUGGCUAAACAUCAACUAGAUCAGAUGUUUUUCUUCCUUGAAACUGGCAUGGGACGAUGACGGACAAGUACAUGUGCUUCUGGUCUUGGGGAAGACCUGAUGCCUGUAUCAACUGCUUCCCAGCACUUGAUGGUAGUCAUGGAGUGCAUGACAUAUAUUUUCCAAGCAUUUUCUCUACAGUUUGCAGGUUUUCCUCGCAUCUGUUUCGCUGUGGUCAGUGCUUGCCCCUGACACCUUGGUGGGCCACUCUUGCUGUGCUGCACCACCAGAGG
rnacentral:lncRNA from 1 species